rnacentral:lncRNA from 1 species
CACUAAGUUGCAGAAGCUGGCCUAAAACUUGCAAUCCUCCUGCCUUGGCCUCUAGAGGUAUGCACCAAAUGUAUCCAGCCCAAACAGUUGUAUCCUAUGCAGUGCCCAGGAUCCAACCCAGGGCCUCAUGAAUGCUAGGCUAGCACCAUACCACUGAGCUACAUUCCCAGUCAAAAUAAGUAAAAACUUAAAACAGAAAGCAGAAGCAGAAAAAGAUCUAGAGAAUCAUUACAGAAUAAAAUGAAAGAAUAUCAAACCUAUACAGACAAGUUUCUGUAGGAAAAAUGAAUACUUGAAACUACCAUCCUAGAAAACUGUCUAGAUAGAAAAGACCUAGGGGACUCAGGGUGUAUCUCAGUGGUUGAGGCUCAGGGUGUAUCUCACUGGUCAAACUCUUGUAUAGCAUGUACACAUGUUCAUCCCAGGCACAAACACCUAAAGAAGAAAAUGUGAACAUAGUUAGUGUCUCUACAAAAUACUUUUACACAGCCAGGCAAGGUGGUGCAGGCCUGUAAUCCCAGCUUCUUGGGAGGCUGAGGCAACAGCAUUACAAAUUCAAGACCGGCUUGGGCAUCUUAGUGAGACCUUGUCUCAAAAUUUUAAAAAAUGAAAAGAGGAUAUAGAUAUAGCUCAGUAGUAGAGCUCUCCUGGGUUCAAUCACCAACAUCACACACACACAGACACACACACACAAUACACUUCUGAACAUAUACAUUUAAAUAUAUUUUGCUUUUCACAAAAUAAGCCAAUCCCCAAAAAAACCAAAGGCCAAAUGUUUUCUCUG